AAAUUUAGGAUACACCUUAAACCAGGGGCCUUCAAAGCCCAAAAAAAGAGACCCCCCCCUCUUAAUUUCU
rnacentral:tRNA from 1 species